GAUGAACGCUGGCGGCGUGCCUAAUACAUGCAAGUCGAGCGAACGGACGAGAAGCUUGCUUCUCUGAUGUUAGCGGCGGACGGGUGAGUAACACGUGGAUAACCUACCUAUAAGACUGGUAUAACUUCGGGAAACCGGCGCUAAUCCCGGAUAAUAUUUUGAUCCGCAUGGUUCAAUAGUGAAUGACGGUCUUGCUGUCGGUUAUGGAUGGAUCCGCGCUGCAUUAGCUAGUUGGUAGGGUAGCGGCUUACCAAGGCAACGAUGGGUAGCCGGCCUGAGAGGGUGAUAGGCCACAUGGGGACGGAGAUACGGCCAAGACGCCUACGGGAGGAAGAAGUGGGGAAUAUGGAACAAUGGGCGGAAGCCUGAUGGAGAAAAGAAGAGUGCGGGAUGAAGGCCUGAGGGUUGUAAACCGCUGUCGCAGGUGAAGAAGAGUGAGGGACGGUAAUGGGUAAAGAAGCACAGGCUAACUACGUG
rnacentral:rRNA from 1 species